GAUGAACGCUGGCGGCGUGCCUAAUACAUGCAAGUCGAGCGAACAGACGAGGAGCUUGCUCCUCUGACGUUAGCGGCGGACGGGUGAGUAACACGUGGAUAACCUACCUAUAAGACUGGGAUAACUUCGGGAAACCGGAGCUAAUACCGGAUAAUAUAUUGAACCGCAUGGUUCAAUAGUGAAAGACGGUUUUGCUGUCACUUAUAGAUGGAUCCGCGCCGCAUUAGCUAGUUGGUAAGGUAACGGCUUACCAAGGCGACGAUGCGUAGCCGACCUGAGAGGGUGAUCGGCCACACUGGAACUGAGACACGGUCCAGACUCCUACGGGAGGCAGCAGUAGGGAAUCUUCCGCAAAGGGCGAAAGCCUGACGGAGCAACGCCGCGUGAGUGAUGAAGGUCUUCGGAUCGUAAAACUCUGUUAUUAGGGAAGAACAAAUGCGUAAGUAACUAUGCACGUCUUGACGGUACCUAAUCAGAAAGCCACGGCUAACUACGUG
rnacentral:rRNA from 1 species